rnacentral:lncRNA from 1 species
CCAUCUCCCUCUUGGGAAAAACCUCAACCUUUUGACUCUAGACUUCUUUUUGCAACCUAAGAAAAAUAGGAUCACAUUCUUGUUUUUCCUUUACCUCAACUAGCAAUGAAGAUUUUGAACAUUCUAAACCAAGAUAUCACUUUUGGUUGAAUCAACCAACCGAACUCCCAACCUAGCAAGCUAGUAAACCUCAUGAACUAACUCUUUC